GAUGAACGCUGGCGGCGUGCCUAAUACAUGCAAGUCGAGCGAACGGACGAGAAGCUUGCUUCUCUGAUGUUAGCGGCGGACGGGUGAGUAACACGUGGAUAACCUACCUAUAAGACUGGGAUAACUUCGGGAAACCGGAGCUAACACCGGAUGAUCUUUUGAACCGCAUGGUUCAAAAGUGAAAGACGGUCUUGCUGUCACUUAUAGAUGGAUCCGCGCUGCAUUAGCUAGUUGGUAAGGUAACGGCUUACCAAGGCAACGAUGCAUAGCCGACCUGAGAGGGUGAUCGGCGACACGGGAACGGAGACACGGUCCAGACUCCUACGGGAGGCAGCAGUAGGGAAUCUGCCGCAAUGGGCGAAAGCCUGACGGAGCAACGCCGCGUGAGUGAUGAAGGUCUUCGGAUCGUAAAACUCUGUUAUUAGGGAAGAACAUAUGUGUAAGUAACUGUGCACAGCUUGACGGUACCUAAUCAGAAAGCCACGGCUAACUACGUG
rnacentral:rRNA from 1 species